rnacentral:rRNA from 1 species
AAAAGUCGUAACAAGGUUUCCGUAGGUGAACCUGCGGAAGGAUCAUUAAAGAGUAAGGGUGCUCAGCGCCCGACCUCCAACCCUUUGUUGUUAAAACUACCUUGUUGCUUUGGCGGGACCGCUCGGUCUCGAGCCGCUGGGGAUUCGUCCCAGGCGAGCGCCCGCCAGAGUUAAACCAAACUCUUGUUAUUUAACCGGUCGUCUGAGUUAAAAUUUUGAAUAAAUCAAAACUUUCAACAACGGAUCUCUUGGUUCUUGCAUCGAUGAAGAACGCAGCGAAAUGCGAUAAGUAAUGUGAAUUGCAGAAUUCAGUGAAUCAUCGAAUCUUUGAACGCACAUUGCGCCCCUUGGUAUUCCGAGGGGCAUGCCUGUUCGAGCGUCAUUACACCACUCAAGCUAUGCUUGGUAUUGGGUGCCGUCCUUAGUUGGGCGCGCCUUAAAGACCUCGGCGAGGCCUCACCGGCUUUAGGCGUAGUAGAAUUUAUUCGAACGUCUGUCAAAGGAGAGGACUUCUGCCGACUGAAACCUUUAUUUUUCUAGGUUGACCUCGGAUCAGGUAGGGAUACCCGCUGAACUUAAGCAUAUCAAUA